UGAUAUUUAAUAGUUAAAUUGCUUUAAUCAGCCCCCUCCUAAGGGGCAGUUACAGGUUCGAUUCCUGUAGGGGCUACCA
rnacentral:tRNA from 1 species